rnacentral:rRNA from 1 species
UCGCCUGUUUAUCAAAAACAUGUCCUUUUGUUUAUAAUUUAAGGUCUGACCUGCCCACUGAAUUUAAUUUAAAGGGCCGCGGUAUUUUGACCGUGCAAAGGUAGCAUAAUCAUUAGUCUUUUAAUUGAGGGCUGGAAUGAACGGUUGGACGAGGUAUUGACUGUCUCUGUACAAAUGAAAUUAGAAUUUAACUUUUAAGUGAAAAGGCUUAAAUUGAGUUGGAGGACGAGAAGACCCCAUAGAGCUUUAUAUUGGGUGUGUUUGUAGUGUGUUUAGUGGUAUUUUUAUUGCAACACGUUCAUUAUUUUGUUGGGGUGACAGGAAGAUACAAUAAACUCUUUUUAUCAAUUAAACAUUUAUGAAUGAAUUUUUGAUCCAUUUUUAGUGAUUAUAAGUCUAAGUUACCUUGGGGAUAACAGCGUAAUCUUUUUCGAGAGUUCUUAUCGACAAAAAGGGUUGCGACCUCGAUGUUGGAUUAAGGGUAAUUUUGGGUGUAGCUGUUCAAAAUUUAGGUCUGUUCGACCUUUGAAUCCUUACAUGAUCUGAGUUCAAACCGGAGA